rnacentral:rRNA from 1 species
AAAUUGAAGAGUUUGAUCAUGGCUCAGAUUGAACGCUGGCGGCAGGCCUAACACAUGCAAGUCGAACGGUAGCACAGAGAGCUUGCUCUCGGGUGACGAGUGGCGGACGGGUGAGUAAUGUCUGGGAAACUGCCUGAUGGAGGGGGAUAACUACUGGAAACGGUGGCUAAUACCGCAUAACGUCGCAAGACCAAAGAGGGGGACCUUCGGGCCUCUUGCCAUCAGAUGUGCCCAGAUGGGAUUAGCUAGUUGGUG